rnacentral:rRNA from 1 species
UACAGAGGUCCCGAGCGUUGUUCGGAUUCACUGGGCGUAAAGGGUGCGUAGGUGGUGAAGUAAGUCGGAUGUGAAAUCUCGGAGCUUAACUCCGAAACUGCAUUGGAAACUACUUUGCUCGAGGGUUGGAGGGGGACUGGAAUUCUCGGUGUAGCAGUGAAAUGCGUAGAUAUCGAGAGGAACACCAGUGGCGAAGGCGAGUCCCUGGACAACUCCUGACACUGAGGCACGAAAGCUAGGGGAGCAAACAGG